rnacentral:rRNA from 1 species
AACGAACGCUGGCGGCAGGCCUAACACAUGCAAGUCGAACGCCGUAGCAAUACGGAGUGGCAGACGGGUGAGUAACACGUGGGAACGUACCUUUCGGUUCGGAAUAACUCAGGGAAACUUGAGCUAAUACCGGAUACGUGCGAGAGCAGAAAGGUUUAUCGCCGAAAGAUCGGCCCGCGUCCGAUUAGCUUGUUGGUGAGGUAACGGCUCACCAAGGCGACGAUCGGUAGCUGGUCUGAGAGGAUGAUCAGCCACACUGGGACUGAGACACGGCCCAGACUCCUACGGGAGGCAGCAGUGGGGAAUAUUGGACAAUGGGCGCAAGCCUGAUCCAGCCAUGCCGCGUGAGUGAUGACGGCCUUAGGGUUGUAAAGCUCUUUCGCCAGGGACGAUAAUGACGGUACCUGGAUAAGAAGCCCCGGCUAACUUCGUGCCAGCAGCCGCGGUAAU